rnacentral:lncRNA from 12 species
CCCCCCCCCCCCCCCCCCCCCCCCCCCCCCCCCCCCCCCCCCCCCCCCCCCCCCCCCCCCCCCCCGGGCACGGCAGCACCCUUGGCCCCGGGUAUCCGGGGAGGCCUCCUCCACCCUGGGUGGAGGGCACAGCCACACCCCACGAGCCCAGCCACACAUUGAGGUUCCCCCCACAGCACCCAGAUCCCUGAAAUCCCUGGCCCACAGCGACUCCCCACAAGGGCACUUUAUUGCUGCCGGCAGCGGGGAUCAGGGGGGUGACAGAGGGGUGGGGGACGGGGUCCUGCUGGUCCCUGGCGGCUCCUGCUGGUCCCUGGGGGUCCAGGAGUCCCCGGGGGGUCCCGGGGGUCCCCCUCAGCCCCCUCAGUACUGGCUGCGCCGCAGGUGAUUGGCCAUCUCAUAACAUUUCUUGUUGACGCAGCCGCCGUGGACGCCCUCCUUGCCCAUGGCCAGCACGAUGGCUGCAAGGGGGGAGGGGUGUAAGGUAGGGGGUCACCCCCAAGCCUCCCCAAACCCCCAGCAAGCCCCUGACAGACAGGGGGUCAAGGGGGGAGAAGGACUGGAAGCAACAGCUGGGAUGAAGGGACCCCAGGAGUUAGGAAGGGGUAAUUUGGGGGGACCUGGGGCAAUGGGGACAUUAACUGGAAACAGAUCAAGGGUGACAGAGGUGACAAGGCAGCAGGUGACGUGGCCAGGUGGAGCUGUGUGGGGGAGAGGACAAAGGAUGACAUGAGGUGACACUGGGGAAGGUGGGGAGCACCUGGGGAGUGACACUGGGUGACACCGUGAUGCCUUAAGAUACAUGGCAGGGGUCAUGGUGGGUGAAAGGAACUGGGGAGGAGCUGACAAAGGGUGACAGGGAGGUCUGAGGGGUGUGACACAGGGUGACAGGGAGGUCUGGGGGGGUGACACAGGGUGAUGGGGGUGACACAGGGUGACGCUGGUUCCAGGGGCAGGUUUCUCUUCCUGGUGACUUUGAAGGUGGGGGGUCACAGGGGAAUGGGUGGCAGGGGCUGUGCUGGGAGGGCGACAGGGAUGAGGCAGGGUGUGGGGCAGGGAUGCCAGGGGGGCAGGGGCAGGGUGUGGGGCUCGCAGGGUGUGGGGCAGGGAUAUCGGGGGGCAGGUGCAGGGGUCCCAGGGAUGCCAGGGGGCAGUUGCGGGGCUCCCUCACUCUUGUUGGUGAUGGCGGCCGUGAUGUUGAAGGUGGGCGCUCCCGCAGCCCCCUUGGUGCGCAGGUCCAUGCUGUGCUCGCCCUCCACCAGCAGCGAGUCCCGGAUGACGGAGCAGCGCAGCCCCCCCAGCGUCAGCCCCUGCACCAGCAGCGGCCCCCGCUCGGGGCCCACCAGCGCCGCCACCUCCGCUGGGGUGGUCUUGGCGCCUGGAUGCCCAGGUCCCCUUGGCCAAGGGCCAGCACAGAGUGUGUCCAUGAAUGGGGUCCCUGUGGUCCCUAGAUGGGAUUUGGGGUAUCAGGAGGAAUUUGGGGCCUGGACACCCCAGGUGGGUCUCAGCUGGGGUGGGAGUUUGGGGGGAUUUGCACCCAACUGCCUGGGUGCAGCCCCUGGGAAGGCCAGGAACCUGGACGAGGUGGCCACCGGGAUGGAGGGCAAAUACAACCUGGACUUCAAAUCCCUCCCUGGAUCCUCAGCACUGGGGAGCAGCUCUACCACAGCUUCAUCACGGACUACCCCGGCGAGCACUUGGAGGGACUCUGAUGGAACUGGGAGGCACUGGGAAGGCACUGCAGGGCACCGGGAUGAGGUGGAACAGGCUGGGGGGUAACUGGGAGGCACUGGGAAGGCAGCUGGGCACUGACAGCUCAUACAAGGCUGUGCCCAGGGUGGGCACUGCCAUUCUCCCACGCCCCCAGGUGACUGGGCCACACUGGUGCACUCCAGUUCAUGCUGGUGGCUGUUUCCCCAUGCUGCUGUCAGCUGAGGGCGACCGUGAGGGCUGGCAGCGGUCCCUGACACAGGUGGACAUCGGGUGGUGGCGAUGGCCGAGCAGUGACCAACCCAAAGCACGUGGGCAGGCAGCUCCUGCUCCAGGUGAACCAGAUGGGAUCCGUCACCGAGUUCAUCCAGGUGUGAGUCCUCCAAAUCCUCGUGCAGCUCCCCAGCACUGAGCCCAUGCAGGUGUGGUCCUCCUGUGACCCCCCCACCCUCGAAAAUCCCAGUGUGAUCCCAUCAUUAUGGAGCCCACCCAGGUGUGAGUGCAGAGCAAAUCCCCCACAGCUUAGGCCAGGAGGUGUGACUGCACAAAACCACACAAACUCUCAGGAAAUCCCAGCCACUGAAUCCAUCCAGGCCGAGUCUGAGCAAACCCUGCUGCAAAUCUCUGAGAAAGCCCCUGAGUCACGGCGUCCACCUCAGUGUGAGCGCAUGAGCAAACCCUCCUGCAAACUCCUGGGACAGGCCUGGUGCAAACACAGAAAUGCCUCAUGCUCACCUCCCUCAUCGCCACAGCCCUCCAGUGCAGAGCCCUCGCAUGAAAGCCUCCUGCAAGCUCAUGUCCCCACGUCACCUCCAUGAUCCCAGAGCCACAGCCGCCUUCCAAGGGGUUCCCUCCACCCCCACAGAUUUUGUGAACCACCAGGAGCUCCUGACUCAUGCUCUCUUUGGGGAGUGGGACACACACACACACACGACCUGCACCCCUGAAAGAGACACAGGGACCAGGUGAGGAGAUGAGCUCCUUUAUCACCCCCUCCGUGUGUCCCUGCUGCCCUCCCCCUGCUGUUAAAUACCCCCGGGGGGCUCACCCCCCGCCCCCCAUCACCCCCCCCCCCCCCCCCCCCCCCCCCCCCCCCCCCCCCCCCCCCCCCCCCCCCCCCCCCCCCCCCCCCCCCCCCCCCCCCCCCCCC